rnacentral:rRNA from 1 species
ACGUAGGGGGCGAGCGUUAUCCGGAAUUACUGGGUGUAAAGGGUGCGUAGGCGGUACGGCAAGUUUGAUGUGAAACCCUCGGGCUUAACCCGAGGCAUGCAUCGAAAACUACAGAACUAGAGUGCAGGAGAGGAAAGCGGAAUUCCUAGUGUAGCGGUGAAAUGCGUAGAUAUUAGGAAGAACACCAGUGGCGAAGGCGGCUUUCUGGACUGUAACUGACGCUGAGGCACGAAAGCGUGGGGAGCAAACAG